rnacentral:lncRNA from 1 species
AUAGUUGAGGCACAACUGCAAUGGGACUGGUUGACCAAAGAGAAUGGAUACAAGUCCAAAAUAAGCAAAUUAGAAAGGAAAGUCAUGGAGCUUUAAUUUGAAAAUGGUGUUCAAACCGCAGCCGGCGAGGGAGAAACGAAGAAAUUGACCCGGGAAAUGAGACCCUUAAAGCUCAGAUCAGAAAGAUGAAAACAGCUGCCAAUAACCCCGAAAGAAGUCGGGCUGAUGAGAGACUUAUAAAUGGGCAAAAAAAGAAAGUCCUUGAAUGUCAAGAUUACCUGGAAACGUAUGAAGAUAGUCUAGCAAAAAUCUGGGCACGAUGGACAAAGUGAAUAGAAGAACGGGCAUGAUGUUGUGCAACAAAUUAAGAGAAAUUAUGAAGGGAC